UUAUUUGCUAUGAGGUUUUUACCCUGCAUGAUUGUUUGGCCUUUUAUGGCUCAGGUGUGUGUGUGUGUGUGUGUGUGUGUGUGUGUGUGUGUGUGUGUGUGUGUGUGUGUGUGUGUGUGUGUGUGUGUGUGUGUGUGUGUGUGUGUGUGUGUGUGUCAUGAGAUGGAAGAUUUUUCAGGUGUGUGUGUGUCACACCUGGCAUGGGGUUCUACGUGCCUGUCCUGGGUUCUAUGUGUGUGUGUCCGGCUUGCUUUGACCGUGAUAAUGUUCAUACGGGGGUCUGUGUGAUUGGCUUGGGAUAUUGGAAUGGUCAACUAAAUCAUACCUGAUGGACGGCCACACGUUUACUUAAGGGCCUCCAGGAGACAUGAAGAGCCCUGAGCGACGCUCCGGAGCGAGAUCCAACACACUGGGUAGGAAGGAGAGUAUCCAACUCAAGUGUAAAAGGAUGCAAGCGGCGUGUUCAGAUCAGUGACUUCAAACUAGGACUACACCAAUCAGGAUCAAUGGAGGAUGGAAACCAAAAGGAAUUUCACAAGGAGAGUCUGACGUUGGAAAGGGACCUAAAUGGAUAUUCAAGAUGACCUUCAGACCUGUAAUGAGACGGCUCUUCCUACCUGGCUGGGUUGAUGGAGAGCCCCGUGGAUCUUGCCUUGCUCUCAGUUGCACGUCUUCUCAGGCUGAACUGUAUUUGUUUCGGACAGGACUAGCUGAACGAUUGGUUCCCUUAAAUCAGAACCAAUCCGGGAACUCCAGCUAGUGCGCUCUUCGAGCUGAAGUUGUGCUCUUCAGCUGAGGAGGUAAGGAAACCUUCACUGGGGCUUCAAGGUGUAAAGAGGAGAAUGUUUGAAAGUGUUCCAUGGUAUUCUGAUGAAGACCGUUGUUGUGUUCCACUGGCUGCGAGGAAGAACCCACACAUCUUCCUCUUGGCCUUUCUCCUCUGAGAAUCCUGGCGCCAUCUUGAAGGAUAUUCCAGCUCAUGUAACUGAUGUCACGACAGAUUCUCAAACACUUGGUUUCUCCUGAGGGGUGUGUCUAUGGAACUGAAGACUUCAGACAGCACUGUAUCCCAGCAUGCAUCUCUGCUCACUCAGACCACACCCCCAUGAGCAGGAUGCAACGCUCUAGUGAUGGAGAUGUAGAGUUUUAUAAGUAACGAGGGAGCAGACUAAGGUGAAUGGAACAUAAAAUCUUUGUAAAUCUUUAAACCAUGAAGAUGGUUGGAUAGUUCAGGAAUUUGGCUUAUUUUUAUUAUGGGCAGUCCCUUCACUCAGAUGCCCACUUCUCACUGGAGCUGUACAUGUGUUGGCUGGCAUGAUUUGCUGUUGGUGAUGAGGCGGUCAGGGUGACGUUGCAGGGCUAUGGUCGGCUCUCUGUGAGGUCAACGUUUAGAUUUGCUCUAUAUGGUUUGUACCCUGAAUAAUCUAGAUAAUUGUAAAAUGUAGAUAUUUUUGUUUUUAAUGAUUCCAGGAUUUUAGGUUUAAAGUUGUUGUGGGACGUACAUGGUAGUUUGGUUCUUCGUAUGGUUUUGAGUGAUAUGACUUGUACACACUGGGUGCAUAAUAAUGUAAAGUUACACUGAAUAGUAUUAAUGACCAACAGCAACAAACAGAUCUCCUCAAGGUAAGUCUGUUGGCUGUGCUUUAAUGUAGAGCAUCGCUGGACUUCAGGAUCUUCCUCAGUUCAGCUCAAGGUGAGGCGCUGUUUAUGUUUUUCUUUGGUUGGUUCCGGCCGGAAUGUUCGGAUUCCAGUCGGACGGUUUGUGCUUCCCGCCGUGGAAGGUUCUGAGUGAGGUCACUUGAUUUAGUCCCAAUGGUUAGCAUAGAACGUUGUAGUCUUGACAACCAUAAGAAACCACCUGGCAGUUAGUUGGACGGGAGUCCCCUGAGGGAAUCUGGCGGAACGUUCUGGAUUGUAUUUGCGUAACCUCGAGCCGUUGCCAACGUAAAAAUGUUUUUGGUCGGUUUCCAUUGGCAAUUGUUGCCCCUAUCUUAAACAACUAAAGUUUGAUAUUAAAUACAUACUGACACGUACGUCGUACAAUAUGUUGAUAAUUUCCGAUGGUUGCGCCGUACUCUUAACCACGACGAUCACGUUGCGGGACUCUCACUGCGUGCAAAACCGCGUUCUACUUGCGGGCCCAUUUUUGAAAUCGGGGAAGGCUUAAAAUCAUUUCAAGAUGGAAGAUAAUUUGACAUUUCUUCAACGGAACCCAGCACCUGAAUAUGGCUGAGUAUAUUUGAUUUAAUAUCGAUACUGCUUAGUGUUCUUUGUUACUUCAGCUUUUGUACGUUCUAAAUAUCUGCUGUCAUUAAUUGCCACAGAAGUUAAACCCUACCCAAUGGAAUGACGUUAAACAACGACUUUUGUGCAGAGUUAACAACUGGAUAAUAUAAAAGCUAAAAUAAUGGCCGUCAUUCCCACAUGUUACAGUAGAAGAUACUCUAGAACCGUACAAGGUUAAAAAGGUAACAUGUAGUUUGUCCCAAGGUGUCUGCCUCCUCACCCAGAGCAAGACCUCCACCUCCUCACCCAGAGCCAGACCUCCACCUCCUGUCAGAAGUCCUCCAGAACAGCUGAAAGGCGAGGCUGAGAGGCUGGGGACCGGAGGCUUGUGGUGCCAGGGUGGACCGGAGACUGAGGCUGGAGACCAGGGGCCUGCAGCACCGGACCAGAGGGUGAUUUACUGCUGAGACCAACUGUGUUUGAAACCAGACCAGGAAUCCAUGGCUGAUGGAGGAGCCCUGCUGAAGGCCCUGGGCUGGUGGAGGGCCUGCCCGGUGAAUGACGUCUGUCGUGGGACCAGGACUCUGUCUGAGGAGAGCUGCUGGAGGAGCUGAGACGCUGGAGGACGACUAGGAAUCGACCAACAAGGAUUCCUCAACGUGUUUCUGGAGCGGAGGCGAGCUGGUAGGGGAGCCGUGAAUAUGGAGGAUGACCAUCACUCUACCAACAAGGAUUACUUUAGGGCCAGACUUGCGCUGUUUGUUCCAGACCAGGACUCUGGCUGAGGAGAGAUGAUGGAGGAGCCAAGACUCUGGAGGACAACAUCACUCCACCAACCAGGAUCCUUGACUGAAGGAGAAGCCGUACAUCUGGAAGGCAAAUCCUGAGGAGCACCAGGACUCUCUUGCAUUAUCUGGACAUAGUGGACUAGACACACCUGAGCUGAACCUCACCUGAUCCUGUUUGGUCGGGGGUAGACACACCUGAGCUAAACCCGCCCUGAUCCUGACAUCCUGCUGGUCCCGUCUCCUCAGUUCAUCUGCGCCUCGUCCUCCAGAAGACCUGCUGAGCUCAGCAGUCUGAGGCUGAUGGAUCAAUGACCUCCAGUGGGAGUGAUCUUCUUGACCCCACAUGUAACCGUGUGCUUCCACACGCCUUUCCCUCACGUCUGUCACUAACCUCACUACUCUCUACUGCUUCCUCUUUUCUUCCUUCUCUGUGGUUCAAACCUUUACACUGAAGGCGCGUCUUCCUGCCCUCAGAGGGUUUAGCGUUAGGGUUGAGAGUCAGGGUUUAGAGUCAGGGACAGAGCUGGUCAGGGAGGCCUGCUUUUACACAAACCUCUUCACUUGCUUUCGGAAUGGUGGUGACAUUAUGAAAAGAUUAAUUUGGGAAAAUGUUUUCCUCUGCUUUCCUUUACAAAAUUGUAUUAAACUUCUGUCAAGUGUUUUUGUUUGUAUUAAAAUCCCACAUUGA